rfam:Chelonia mydas contig157964, whole genome shotgun sequence.
AAAAUGGCCUUUUUCAAAGCCACAUAUUGUGAAAAAUUGUUGUUUU